rnacentral:tRNA from 1 species
GACCUCAUUGCUCAGCUGGUAGAGCGUGCGCGUACAAAGCGUAGGCGGCGUCCAUGCGUGGGUUCGACUCCCACCGAGGCUA